rnacentral:rRNA from 1 species
GCAUAUCAAUAAGCGGAGGAAAAGAAACCAACCGGGAUUGCCUCAGUAACGGCGAGUGAAGCGGCAAGAGCUCAAAUUUGAAAUCUGGCCCCUCCGGGGUCCGAGUUGUAAUUUGCAGAGGAUGCUUCGGGUGCGGCCCCUGUCUAAGUGCCCUGGAACGGGCCGUCAGAGAGGGUGAGAAUCCCGUCUUGGGCAGGGUGCCCGUGCCCGUGUGAAGCUCCUUCGACGAGUCGAGUUGUUUGGGAAUGCAGCUCUAAAUGGGUGGUAAAUUUCAUCUAAAGCUAAAUACCGGCCGGAGACCGAUAGCGCACAAGUAGAGUGAUCGAAAGAUGAAAAGCACUUUGAAAAGAGAGUUAAACAGCACGUGAAAUUGUUGAAAGGGAAGCGCUUGCGACCAGACUCGGCCCCGGGGUUCAGCCAGCACUCGUGCUGGUGUACUUCCCCGGGGGCGGGCCAGCGUCGGUUUGGGCGGCCGGUCAAAGGCCCCAGGAAUGUGUCGCCCUCCGGGGCGUCUUAUAGCCUGGGGUGCAAUGCGGCCAGCCCGGACCGAGGAACGCGCUUCGGCACGGACGCUGGCGUAAUGGUCGCAAACGACCCGUCUUGAAACACGGACCAAGGAGUCUAACAUCUACGCGAGUGUUCGGGUGUCAAACCCGUACGCGCAGUGAAAGCGAACGGAGGUGGGAGCCCCGCAAGGGGCGCACCAUCGACCGAUCCUGAUGUCUUCGGAUGGAUUUGAGUAAGAGCGUAGCUGUGGGGACCCGAAAGAUGGUGAACUAUGCCUGAAUAGGGCGAAGCCAGAGGAAACUCUGGUGGAGGCUCGCAGCGGUUCUGACGUGCAAAUCGAUCGUCAAAUUUGGGUAUAGGGGCGAAAGACUAAUCGAACCAUCUGGUAGCUGGUUCCUGCC